AUUGAACGCUGGCGGAAUGCUUUACACAUGCAAGUCGAACGGCAGCACGGGGCAACCUGGUGGCGAGUGGCGAACGGGUGAGUAAUACAUCGGAACGUGCCCAAUCGUGGGGGAUAACGUAGCGAAAGUUACGCUAAUACCGCAUACGAUCUACGGAUGAAAGCGGGGGAUCGCAAGACCUCGCGCGAAUGGAGCGGCCGAUGUCAGAUUAGGUAGUUGGUGGGGUAAAGGCUCACCAAGCCAACGAUCUGUAGCUGGUCUGAGAGGACGACCAGCCACACUGGGACUGAGACACGGCCCAGACUCCGACGGGAGGCAGCAGUGGGGAAUUGUGGACAAUGGGCGCAAGCCUGAUCCAGCCAUUCCGCGUGCAGGAUGAAGGCCUUCGGGUUGUAAACUGCUUUUGUACGGAGCGAAAAGGCUCUCUCUAAUACAGGGGGCUCAUGACGGUACCGUAAGAAUAAGCACCGGCUAACUACGUGCCAGCCGCCGCCGUAAAAC
rnacentral:rRNA from 1 species